AGGACCCCCCCGGGGGUCUUCCCCACGGCCGGCACGGCGCCCGGCCCGCCCCCAAGCCACCCGUCCCUCAUGGCCGCGCGGGGCCCGGGCGCCGCCGGUGCCGCAAGAUGGCGGCGGGCAGGCCCUGAGCGGGGCGGCCGUGAGGGAAGGCUCGGAGCCGCGCCGGUGCUGCCCCGCGGCAGAGCUCAGCGCUCUGGGCUCCCUCCUCUGCCCCAAAGUUCGAAACGGCGUGUCGGCCACAGCUCCAGCCGCUGAGAGAGCCCCCGACCCAGCACGGCAGAAACUUUUUUUGCCUCCUGUGCUUGCCAUCCUGCUUCCUUUCUCCACCCUAAUCCAGAGCCAGGGCUUCUCAGGAGGAUUGUCCUCUUCAUCCCUCCCUGACAAGGAAUGACCUCCAGCAGCAACACCCUGGAUGAGUUGGCCUCUGCCAGGGCUUUAACACCGACCACCAGAGCCAGCUGCUGUCCCAGGCCUUGGCCACGACAGCUGAGUAAGGGAAAGAGCCCCAGCCCGUGCUUCCCUCCUGAGCCCUCUGGUCC